CAGCUACCCAAUAUUCAGGGGAUCCUUUUCCUGAACCCAUACGUGUUUCUGCGGGUCUUAGUGUAACUGGUUUGUCUGGAAAUAUACGUACCCAUAUUUUUCCACCACGACGUGCAUUUCGUGUCAUUGCCCGUCGGCCUGCUUCUAUUUGUCGAGAUGUAAUCCAAGCAGGUUCAAGUGCCUGAAGAGCAUAUUUACCGAAAGAAAUAUGAUUACCUCGAGAAGAUAUUCCCUUCAUUCUGCCUCUAUGUUGUUUACGGAAUCUGGUUCUUUUGGGGUUAUACAUAGCAAUUAUAUCAAAUGGUCAAUCGAAUUUUUAUUCAACCUUAUAGAAUUAAGAAUUAUAAAUGUCCCCCUUGAUUAGAAAAAGAAUGGAUUGGUCUUUUUUUUUGUUCAAUCAUUGGAUAGAAGGGAAAGACAAGUAGUCAAAUUAUUCCGCGUCUAGAAAUAUCCAAAUUUUGAUGCCCAAUAUUCCAUAGAUAGUUCGAACUGUAUAAGAGCAAUAAUCAAUUUUAGCUCGAAUCGUUUGUAGGGGAACCCUGCCUUCUCUGAUCCAUUCGACACGUGCAAUUUCUUUUCCGUCGAUACGCCCCGCAAUUUGUAUUUGAAUUCCUUUUGUAUCCGCUUGUUCUGUUAAUUCAAUAGCCUUUUUCAUUGCUUUUCGAAAUGAAACUCUAUUCUUUAAUUGUCCAGCUAUAAAUUCUGCAAGAAUAUUAGGGUUUCCGUAAGGUUUUGCAAUUCUUGUGACAGCAAUGUUCAGUUUUCGGUUUACACAAUUAAAUUCUUUUUGUAAGGUCAUUUGUAAUUCUUCGAUUCCGCGCGGUCGACUUUCUAUUAAUAAUUUUGGGAAUCCCAUAAAGAUUAUGACCUGGAUCAGAUCGAUUCUUUUUUGAAUCUCUAUACGUGCAAUUCCCUCGAUGCCAGAGGACGUUCUCAUAUUCUUUUGGACAUAAUUCUUGAUACAAUCUCUUAUUUUUUUAUCUUCUUGUAAACCCUCAGAAUAAUUUUUGGGUUGUGAAAACCAAAGGGAAUGAUGACCUUGGGUUGUACCCAGUCUGAAACCAAGUGGAUUUAUUUUUUGUCCCAUAAUCCCCCGCUAUUAUACAUAUCACGAUACGUCAUAGCUGUAGAUUUUUUUUUCCAUCUCGUUUUUUUUAACGAAGACAUCUCGCCAUAUUCAUCAUCUAAAGAUAUAUCUUUCAUUACAAUAGUUAUAUGACAGGUCGAUCUUUUUAUCGGAAAACUACGUCCUCGAGCUCGAGGUUUCAAUUUCUUCACAGUAGUACCUUCAUUGACUUCGGCUUUACUAAUGACUAAAUUGGUUUCGUUGGAACCCAUAUUGUAACUCGCAUUUGCUGCUGCAGAAUAAACCAAUUUCAAAAUGGGAUAACAUGCUCGAUAGGGCAUGAGUUCUAGUAUCAUAAGCGUUUCCUCAUAGGAACGUCCACGAAUUUGAUCAAUUACUCUUCGUGCUUUGUCAGCAGACAUAGAUAUAUGUUCACCUAAAGCAUAUACUUCUGUUUUUUUCUUCUUUAGCAUAAGGUUUGCCUCCUACUACUGAAUCAUAAGCAUCUAUAUUUUUUUAUUAAUAUUAACGACGAGAUCUAUUAUCGCUUUUUGCAUGUCCUCUAAAAUUUAAUGUAGGUGCAAAUUCUCCCAAUUUGUGGCCUACCAUACUAUCCGUUAUAUAAAUAGGCAAAUGCUCUUUUCCAUUAUGGAUAGCAAUAGUAUGACCGAUCAUUGUGGGUAUAAUGGUAGAUGCCCGGGACCAAGUUACUAUUAUUUCUUUUUCUGCUUUUGUGUUAAGCUUAUCAAUUUUUUUUAAUAAAUGAUUGGCUACAAAGGGAUUUUUUUUUAGUGAACGUGUCACAAGCUUACUCCUAUUUUUUUUUUGUAAAGUUUUUGUAAAAACGAAGAAUUAAAUUCUAUUUUCUCUCCUAUUUACUACGGCGACGAAGAAUCAAAUUAUCACUAUAUUUAUUCCUUUUUCUACUUCUUCUUCCAAGUGCAGGAUAACCCCAAGGGGUUGUGGGUUUUUUUCUACCAAUUGGGGCUCUCCCUUCACCACCCCCAUGGGGAUGGUCUACAGGGUUCAUAACUACUCCUCUUACUACAGGACGCUUACCUAGCC